rnacentral:miRNA from 1 species
UAAAUGCACUGUGUUGCUAAUU